rnacentral:rRNA from 1 species
AGUGAACGCUGGCGGUAGGCCUAACACAUGCAAGUCGAACGGCAGCACAGUAAGAGCUUGCUCUUACGGGUGGCGAGUGGCGGACGAGUGAGGAAUACAUCGGAAUCUACUUUUUCGUGGGGGAUAACGUAGGGAAACUUACGCUAAUACCGCAUACGACCUACGGGUGAAAGCAGGGGAUCUUCGGACCUUGCACGAUUGAAUGAGCCGAUGUCGGAUUAGCUAGUUGGCGGGGUAAAGGCCCACCAAGGCGACGAUCCGUAGCUGGUCUGAGAGGAUGAUCAGCCACACUGGAACUGAGACACGGUCCAGACUCCUACGGGAGGCAGCAGUGGGGAAUAUUGGACAAUGGGCGCAAGCCUGAUCCAGCCAUACCGCGUGGGUGAAGAAGGCCUUCGGGUUGUAAAGCCCUUUUGUUGGGAAAGAAAAGCAGCAGGUUAAUACCCCGCUGUUCUGACGGUACCCAAAGAAUAAGCACCGGCUAACUUCGUG